rnacentral:rRNA from 1 species
CUGACGAGUGGCGGACGGGUGAGUAAUGCUUGGGAAUCUGGCUUAUGGAGGGGGAUAACGACGGGAAACUGUCGCUAAUACCGCGUAUUAUCGGAAGAUGAAAGUGCGGGACUGAGAGGCCGCAUGCCAUAGGAUGAGCCCAAGUGGGAUUAGGUAGUUGGUGGGGUAAAGGCCUACCAAGCCUGCGAUCUCUAGCUGGUCUGAGAGGAUGACCAGCCACACUGGAACUGAGACACGGUCCAGACUCCUACGGGAGGCAGCAGUGGGGAAUAUUGCGCAAUGGGGGGAACCCUGACGCAGCCAUGCCGCGUGAAUGAAGAAGGCCUUCGGGUUGUAAAGUUCUUUCGGUAUUGAGGAAGGGAGAUGUGUUAAUAGUACACCACAUUGACGUUAAAUACAGAAGAAGCACCGGCUAACUCCGUGCCAGCAGCCGCGGUAAUACGGAGGGUGCGAGCGUUAAUCGGAAUAACUGGGCGUAAAGGGCACGCAGGCGGUUAUUUAAGUGAGGUGUGAAAGCCCUGGGCUUAACCUAGGAAUUGCAUUUCAGACUGGGUAACUAGAGUACUUUAGGGAGGGGUAGAAUUCCACGUGUAGCGGU